GUGUUGACUAUAUUUCUUCUUCUAAAAUCUUCUGAAUGUCAAAGUCGUUUGCUGUCGUCUUUAUGACAAGUUUGGUUGAAGCAUGUCAAGAGAUAUUUUGUUUACUCAUUGUUUACUGUUUUUGCUAAUUAUUUUGGAGAAUGUGUGUUCAAAACAUAAAUCUCAUCAACAUCACCAUAACCUGGACCAUGGACACGGGUCCGGAUCGGAUUUGCAAAUAAUAAAAAACUUGGAUGAUCAAACGUACGAGGAACUCAUGAACGAAAUACCAUUACUGAAAAAAGUAUUUAAAGGUAACAGAAAAGAUGGUAGCUUCCAAUUUAACUCAUCUGCCUUGCCUAUGUUAUAUAGAGGAGAAAUAUUAGAACGACCUAAUGGUCCGCCGGUCAUGAUGAAUUUCGACGUUACAACACUCCCUUCACCAACUCCAAGGGCAGCGUAUCGCAAUAGUUCAUUUGGAAGAGGGAAGUCAGUCACAUAUAGAACACGCUGGCCUACCGUUCAACAUGCGACAAGGAGCUUGUAUAACGCACGCCGCCAAGGACCCUGGCAACUCGGUUUCCGCUGGGGGGAUCUUACAUUCACUGCAUACUGGUACACUGUAUACCCGCACAUUAUAUCCUGCUACUGGUGCGGCCUCAACGACACCUUGAUUCCGAGUAACUCGCUUUGCUAUACUAUCUGGGAUGCGGAGGACACCCGCAUGCGUGAUAUUGGCCGAUUCUUUCGUGCACGUUGUCAUUACUACGAUUACUAUCGUUUUUACGAUAGACAAAUAAAACUGGUCCGAUGGUACCCGUCCACUAUUGAAUACGUAUACGAUCAUGGAUUAAAAACAUGUAUGUUCGGUCCGUACAUGAAGGGUUGCUUCAAGCGGUUCUUGGAUGUAGGCCCGCUGUACACGGCGCGCGGUUGUCGCGGCGCCUUCCUGCCGUGGCGCGCCUACACAAGGAGUUUCGCGGCGCAUAGGCUUAUGCGCUUAGAAAUAGUCGCGCGCGGUCACGACGAUGUGUGUAUUCACAGUCCCGAAGCUGCGUUGACGCCAUACAGCCGCGCCAUCUCGCUAUGGGUCCGUUACCACGUGUGUGUGUGUAACAAACCUUACUGCAACGCUGGCGCGCCGCUCGCCGCACUGCUUACCUCGCUCGGCAAGUCCUUCGCUGCGAUCAUCGUACUUGUUACAAGAAAUGUUGCGUGCAAGGAAGUAGAAGCAAUAUGAUACAAAUUACUACUUUGCAACGGAAAACUACCGCUCAAUUGUCCAUAACUGUAGAUCAAUGAGUCAUACUCGUAACAAAAAAAUGGCCUGAGUAACUCAGCUGUGUCGGUUUUGUGACUUGCACUAUCCAAAGCGAAUAAUAAAAAACUUCACCUCUAUACAGACUGUCGCGAAACUUUAACCGGUUGGAAACUAUAAUUCGACUGUUCAGUUACAACUGAAGCGCUGACGCCGCGGUCGACCGCUAGUUCAUCAUAAUGUUGAUCUCACAUCCAUGUUCGUACAUUAUCA